rnacentral:rRNA from 1 species
UUGCGAUUUCAAUACGAGGGGCCUGCGUUUUGCUGCAGAAAGGGGAAAGUGGAUGUAUUUACUCUAGAUGUUUGUGAGGAGUUGAAACGGUUGUUUACAAGCCAAGAUGAUGAGGAUGCUAGAUAUUUCAGAGAAAAUAUACGAUAUUUCAACCCCCACUUCUCAUUCACAAGUCUGGGAGUCACCCUUGAUCAUCAAGUCAGCACCGCAGCAGGAACCGGUGUAUAUAAAUUUCAUGCGUGUGGGGGGUUGUACCACGCUCUUGAUGAUCUGGAGUCUGGUGAUAAUGGCCCUCGACAUUUGCAUCUAUAUAUUUAUGAUACAGAUGAAAACUUGUUUCAUAGGGUUAAGAGGUCUCCAAAUCUUAGGUUAGAUCUCUUACGAAAGAUUCUGGCAAUACUAGAGCAUAACCCUUAUGCUCAAGUAUUUAAAAGCCUUGGUGUUGUUCCAAAUCUAGAUGAAUACAGGAUCUCAUUAAAUACCGAUAUCAAGCUUGAUCAACGAAGGUACAAUGCGCCAACAACUUCUUAG